UGGGGAAUAUUGCACAAUGGGCGAAAGCCUGAUGCAGCGACGCCGCGUGAAGGAUGAAGUAUUUCGGUAUGUAAACUUCUAUCAGCAGGGAAGAAAAUGACGG
rnacentral:rRNA from 1 species